rnacentral:tRNA from 1 species
UAGCUCAGUUGGCAGAGCAUUGGGCUAGUAUUCCAAAGGUCGUAGGUUCGAAUCCCAC